ensembl:snoRNA
UGCCCAAUGAUGACACCAUCCUUGCUCCCCGUGCCCCCCAGGGGCUAUGGGCGACACCAUGGCUGCCCUUGGGCUGGGCCAGUGGGGCCAAUGCCCAGGGGCUGAGGGCA